AACCCAUGGUGCGGAUAGGCUCUUAGAAAUUCUUUGUAUCUUUCCCAAACGUCAAAAAGUUAUUCACCCUCUUGUUGUGUGAAUCUGGUUAUUUGGUUUCGAAGGAC